rnacentral:lncRNA from 1 species
AAAAAAAAAACAGAUCAACCUUGAGGGAUCCCAUUCUGGGCAAUUCUCCCAAGUCAAGCAUUCUUAAGAAUUCUUAUUUUAAGAAUUAGAUUCAGCCAUAUUAUAUUCCAUAUUAUUAACUUUUCUUUCUAUCAUUUGUUUAUUAGUGCAUAGCAUUCAACUAUAUGCCAAACACAAGGCUAACAGAAGUAAAAGUAUAACAAGUACAGUCAGCAAAAAAGACCUGUAAGUAUAUAGGAAACUGUUUUUAAUGUUUUAGAACAAAAUUUACUAGUCUGAGUAUCAGUGUGCUGGGAUGUCUUUCUGAGGUUUGAAAGAUUAUUGCUGUGCCUACCGCUUGGGAGGAGGUGAUAUCCUUUGGUUGGUGCUCUGUCUCCAGCUUUCCUGGCCGAUAUCUCUGUCACUGACUAUGGUGAAAACACUGGGCAUGCUGAUGAAGCCUAAAAGUAACUUGAAGGAAGGCAAGUGAAUACAUUAGAUCAUAGAACUGGGAUUCAG